rnacentral:rRNA from 1 species
CCCUUAGAUGUUCUGGGCUGCACGCGCGCUACACUGAUGCACUCAACGAGUUUACGACCUUGCCCGAGAGGGUUGGGUAAUCUUUUUAAAAUGCAUCGUGAUGGGGAUAGAUUAUUGCAAUUAUUAAUCUUCAACGAGGAAUUCCUAGUAAGCGCGAGUCAUCAGCUCGUGCUGAUUACGUCCCUGCCCUUUGUACACACCGCCCGUCGCUCCUACCGAUUGAGUGCUCAGGUGAAUAAUUCGGACUGCAGCAAUGUUUGGAUCCCGAACGUUGCAGCGGAAAGUUUAGUGAACCUUAUCACUUAGAGGAAGGAGAAGUCGUAACA